rnacentral:rRNA from 1 species
GACGAACGCUGGCGGCGUGCUUAACACAUGCAAGUCGAACGGAAAGGCCCUUCGGGGUACUCGAGUGGCGAACGGGUGAGUAACACGUGGGUGAUCUGCCUCGUACUUUGGGAUAAGCCUGGGAAACUGGGUCUAAUACCGAAUAUGACCUUCCCUCGCAUGGGGGUUGGUGGAAACUUUUUGGGUACGAGAUGGGCCCGCGGCCUAUCAGCUUGUUGGUGGGGUAAUGGCCUACCAAGGCGACGACGGGUAGCCGGCCUGAGAGGGCGACCGGCCACACUGGGACUGAGACACGGCCCAGACUCCUACGGGAGGCAGCAGUGGGGAAUAUUGCACAAUGGGCGCAAGCCUGAUGCAGCGACGCCGCGUGAGGGAUGACG